rnacentral:rRNA from 1 species
UGAGUAGAGUGGCGCACGGGUGAGUAACACGUAGGUGACCUACCAUAUAUGGGGGAUAACUAGAAGAAAUUCUAGCUAAUACCGCAUACGUUGAACAAAUUUGAAAGUAGUUCAAGAAAGAAUGCCUCUAUACUAUGCAUUCGCUAUUUGAUGGGCCUGCGGGACAUUAGCUUGAUGGUGGGGUAACGGCCUACCAUGGCGACGAUGUCUAGCGGAUCUGAGAGGAUGAUCCGUCACACUGGAACUGAGACACGGUCCAGACUCCUACGGGAGGCAGCAGUGGGGAAUAUUGCGCAAUGGGCGAAAGCCUGACGCAGCAACGCCGCGUGAGUGAGGAAGGCCUUCGGGUUGUAAAGCUCUGUCAAUGUGGAAAAACUGCUUUAUGUCUAAUAGGCAUAAAGUUUGAUGGUACACAUAAAGGAAGCACCGGCUAACUUCGUG